rnacentral:rRNA from 1 species
AAGUUUCAACAACGGAUCUCUUGGCUCUCGCAUCGAUGAAGACGCAGCGAAAUGCGAUAUGUAAUGUGAAUUGCAGAAUUCAGUGAAUCAUCGAAUCUUUGAACGCACCUUGCGCUCCUUGGUAUUCCUCGGAGCAUGCCUGUUUGAGUAUCA